AUUGAACGCUGGCGGCAGGCCUAACACAUGCAAGUCGAACGAGUGGCGGACGGGUGAGUAAUGUCUGGGAAACUGCCCGAUGGAGGGGGAUAACUACUGGAAACGGUAGCUAAUACCGCAUACCAUCGGAUGUGCCCAGAUGGGAUUAGCUAGUUGGUGGGGUAAAGGCUCACCAAGGCGAAGAUCCCUAGCUGGUCUGAGAGGAUGACCAGCCAUACUGGAACUGAGACACGGUCCAGACUCCUACGGUAGGCAGCAGUGGGGAAUAUUGAACAAUGGGCGCAAGCCUGAUGCAGCCAUGGCGCGUGUAUGAAGAAGGCCUUCGGGUUGUAAAGUACUUUCAGCGAGGAGGCGUUACCCGCAGAAGAAGCACCGGCUAACUCCGUGCCAGCAGCCGCGGUAAUAC
rnacentral:rRNA from 1 species